GAAGGCAGGAUCAGUGAAGACCUCCACCAUGGUCUGGUCUCCUCUCCUCCUCACCCUCCUCGCUCACUUCACAGGGUCCUGGGCCCAGUCUGUGCUGACUCAACAGGCCUCCGUGUCUGGGUCUCUGGGCCAGAGGGUCACCAUCUCCUGCACUGGAAGCAGCUCCAACGUUGGUUAUAGCAGUUAUGUGGGCUGGUACCAGCAGCUCCCAGGAACAGGCCCCAGAACCAUCAUCUAUAGUACCAAUACUCGACCCUCUGGGGUUCCUGAUCGAUUCUCUGGCUCCAAGUCAGGCAACACAGCCACCCUGACUAUUGCUGGACUCCAGGCUGAGGACGAGGCUGAUUAUUACUGCUCAUCUUAUGACAGCAGUCUCAGUGCUCCCACGGUGCUCCAGGCCUGUGGGGAAGUGAGACAAAAACCUACUUACCCGUCUGCAAAGUGA